CUCGUCAGGCCUCAGAUGCAUGUGUUCUUAAUAUUUUAACAUGUCUAAAAUCUGGCCGGGUAGCAGUUUUUUCCUUAGUGGUACACGAAAUGCUGGUGUGCCUUCCAAUUUCUGGUAUCUUAGGUUUGAUGGAGUAUGGACGGAGACAUCCAGGAAGUGGCAGAUGGGGUGUUGUGUGGCGGUUCUACCUGGGUUUGACUCAGCGGUUUCCUUCUUCUCUCUAGGCUGGUUGGGUCUUUUCCCUGGCCGGUGGAAGCCCAGCUCUGGAGUCAGCCCAGCUGAGGGUAACUCCCUGCCUUUGCUUAGGUGGAGCCCCCAAGCCGGCCCAGGCCCGUGGGACCGCACAGCUCUGCCUCCUCGCCCGCAUUUCCCGUAUCUGCACCAGAAAUACUCCAGGACUCAGCCGGCCGAGACCGAACCCUCCUCCACGGGAAGUGGGGUCCUGGGGGAACGACGCCAUAAAUACUCCAAAACAGAGAGGCCGGCUUGGGAAUAGAUGACGUGUGGAAGAUGGACAUCAACCAUGAGCCCUUCUUGUGGGAGAGGUGAAAUAGAGAUGAUAAACUCCCUGGAGUGUGGGCUACUUGGGAGGGGUGAUAUAUCCCAAGGAGUUCUCAGUUUGAGGCCAUGCCCAGCUAUGCAGCUCACCUGGGAAGUGCCUGAGGGUAAGGAGGGAGACAGCCUGCUCUGGAUUCUCUUCAGGGUGUCAAUGAGUUAGCGUGUUGACAGAUGAAGAGAAUUCCAGCUGGGGAUACAGGUUAGGAAUCACGUUUCUCACUCUCAUGAAGAUAUACAGGAGAUAGCUCUUUGAUUCUUUCUGUGCCAGUCUGUUAAAGCUAUUCUGAGGUCGACUGUCAUUCAGAGCUUUGUUUCUUUAUCCCAUUAAACCACUAGCUUCUGGGAGUUAAUUGUAGACCAAGAUGAGAGGAUUUAGGUGUGGCUCCAGGAGUAUGUCUGUUAUACAUAUCAACUGCAUUUAUAUCUGUGCUAUAUCCAUUAGGAUAAGAUAAUCUAUACUGCAGACACUGAUAGAUAGCCCUAAAACUUCAGUAGCUUAAAACAACAAAGAGUUGAUUUGUUCACACUGCAUGUCCAGAUCAAUGCCAACUGUCCCUGGUAGGGAAAAAGGGGACGCAGAAAAUCAUAUUCUGAGUCUUAUAAACUAAUGCCCAUAUUCCAAUAGCUCAAGCAGAUCUUGUAGCCACAUCUAAUAUUAGGAAAGAGUUCUCUUGUCAGUGUUAGAAUUUUUCCAAUUCAAAUGGAUCUAUCUGUAAUCAGGGUAAUCUAAUGAGUGUCUUGAGCCUUUGAAAUUAUCUGGCUUGAAGCUGUAGAGGACUGACCAGUGAUCUAGAGAAAAGGAGAAUGGGAAUUUUAAAAUGCCUACUAAGAAUCUCUUUUAAGGAAGAAGUAAUGUUUCAUCUGGUCACUAUGUUCAAAAUCAAAUGUGUUCCAUACCUUAUAUUUGAGUCUUAAAAUAGUUACAGAAAGUUUGUACAAUAAAGCAGUCAAGUCAGGUGCAAUUAGCCAUGCUGAUUUUUUUUUGGAUAAGUGCUUAAAAUAAACUUUGUAAGAAUAAUAGAUUUAAAGUAUAUUAGCACUGUGGGAG
ensembl:lincRNA